rnacentral:lncRNA from 1 species
GGGGGGGAUUUGUAGCUGCUGUUGCUCUGCCUCCCUCUCCCACUGCUGCCUCUCCGUCCCCCAGGAUCUCCAUCACGCGGGUGACGGCCGACAUCUCCCUGGCCAAGCGCUCCGUCCUGAACAACCCCAGCAAACACACCAUCAUCGAGCGCUCCAGCACGCGCUCCAGCCUGGGUAAGGAGGCGCCGCGGCGGCUCCGUCGCGUCGGGCAGCCCGCGGCGYGCUCGCCCUGCCGCCUGGCCGAGCAGGCGGUGGCUCCCAAGCGCGCAUCUGUAUCAGCCGGGGACCCCGGCAGCCUGGCGUUCCCCGUUCCCCAUCCCGUCUCGUCCCGGGGUGCUGCUCCCACCCGCUCCGGGGCACGGCUUGUCCCCCCCCCCCCUUCAGCACGCCGGGGGACGAGAUGCUGGGGCACAGCCUGCAUCUCCGCUGCCGCGGGGCGACUAACGUGCGCGAACGCAGCGCGCGCGCGCGGGGUGCGAGGGGAGCCGGGGCCUUCCGCCCCCGCUGGCCGAUUUGACUCAGUCUCUCUCCCCCUCCUCCCCCCUUCAUCUUCUCUUUCGUUUUUCUUUCCCCUUUUUCUCCUUUCUUUUGGGUUUCCUCCCCUCUGCGCUGCUUACUUCCUCCCCUGCUCCUGAUACAGAUGUCUUGGGUAUGUAGCUUGGACCCGUCGGGACCCCCGCCAGCCCCCUGCCUGGCCGGAGGCGGUGGGGACGCAGCCCCUUGCAGCCCCCGCUGCCUGGCCGUGACCAGCCUUGGGGAUGCUCCUGUUGGAGCACCGCCGGGUCUGGCCACCCCACAGCCUGYGGGUUAGGGAGACCCCGGUCACGCAGCCUCACCCAACCUCCCACCCCACGCACAUGUGGUCCAGGGGUGGCUUAGCCCCCCCCCCCCCAUAACCCAGCCACCCCAUGGUCUGCAUAGGCACGGCACUAGUGCUGGGUGCCCGAAGCUGCCUCCGUCCAGGACCUGCAGUGCAAGGUCACCUGCAGCCCCACGUCCCUGGGGCUGGGGUGACCUUGAGGGUGGCCAAGGCCCAGUACGAGACCUUUCCUGGUCCUGUCAUCUGCCCCAUUUCCCUCACCAUGUCUCCCAGNNNNNNNNNNNNNNNNNNNNNNNNNNNNNNNNNNNNNNNNNNNNNNNNNNNNNNNNNNNUCCCUGGCCCCCAUCAUCGUCUACAUCAAAAUCACGUCCCCCAAGGUGCUCCAGCGGCUUGUGAAGUCCCGGGGCAAGUCCCAGGCGAAGCACCUCAACGUGCAGAUGGUGGCGUCGGACAAGCUGGCGCAGUGCCCGCCGGAGAUGUUUGACAUCAUCCUGGACGAGAACCAAUUGGAGGACGCCUGCGAGCACCUGGCGGAGUACCUGGAAGCCUAUUGGAAGGCCACGCACCCGCCCAGCAGCA